UGUGAGUGCCUUUUUAAAGGCCUGGCUUCCUCCAGAGCAAGGAUCAGCCAGGUGCCUGGGUCUGACCCAUGAACAAUAGAAAGGGACAAAGGAAAAUCUGUAACAGAACUUAUCUCACUUAACACCGGUCUGAUUCUGCCAUUUCUUCUAUGUGAACACUAUCAGCUCCUUAAGACUUGUGUUUCUUCUGCUGUGGUAGAGCCUUAACAUCCUUCUAAAGCAUAACAACAAAGGUGCAGGACCUUAACAUCUUUGAGACAGCUGUCAAGUGUGAGUUCACUUUUGAAGCCAUACUUCCUAAGGAUUUUACCUCUGCUGGCACUCGAGGCAUGUGGUCUCCAGACUUCUGAUGGCUCUGACUGACAUCCUCUGGAGUUGAUCCUGUCUGUCCACACAUUGUUUUAAAGCACAGUUGCUACUUGGACAUAGAGCUCCUGUGGAAUAGACAGGAAGGGCUACUUCAUACUUCUGGCAUCCUCUAGUCUUGUUUAACACAGCCCUUAGCGCCUGCCCCUUGUCAGAACCACAGAUACAGCUGACUCAGGUCCCGUCUGUGAUCUGCCAUAACCACUUACGUCUUUUCUGCAGACUGAUGGAGUGACUGGUCCCUUACCUUGCUCCAGGGCAGUGAAUACUUCACUCUCGUCUGUACCUAGCUGCACUCUUCUGCUUCAAGUCACACUUAAACCUCAUUCUAUUCUUCCUGGCUCAGUGUCAGGUUUUAAAGGCUUGAUGUCUUUUUUCACUAAAAGUAUCACCCAGAUUUUCUGUGGAAAUAUUUAACAGCACUGGGUAGGAAAACACCCCUCUGGAAAAAACCAA